GGCCUCAUUCUAGAUGAGAAUGGGCACUGGUGACUGUGGUAUCCAAAAUUAUCAUUAUGGCUAAACUGAGACACAGGUCAUGCUUCUAUCACAGUAAACGAACUGCAGUGGUGACAAGAAGACCUCUAACAUUU
ensembl:snoRNA